rnacentral:rRNA from 1 species
AGAGUUUGAUCCUGGCUCAGAAUCAACGCUGGCGGCGCGCUUAACACAUGCAAGUCGCACGAGAAAGUGGAGCAAUCCAUGAGUACAGUGGCGUACGGGUGAGUAACACGUGGAUCAUCUACCUUCUAGUGGGGAAUACCUCCGGGAAACUGGAGACAAUACCGCAUAAGCUCGAGAGAGGAAAGCCGAAAGGCGCUGGAAGAGGAGUCCGCGGCUGAUUAGCUAGUUGGCGGGGUAAUGGCCCACCAAGGCGAAGAUCGGUAGCCGGCCUGAGAGGGCACACGGCCACACUGGCACUGAAACACGGGCCAGACUCCUACGGGAGGCAGCAGUGGGGAAUCUUGCACAAUGGAGGAAACUCUGAUGCAGCGACGCCGCGUGAGCGAUGAAGCCCUUCGGGGUGUAAAGCUCUUUCGACGGGAACGAUAAUGACGGUACCCGAAGAAGAAGCUGCGGCUAACUACGUGCCAGCAGCCGCGGUAAUACGUAGGCAGCAAGCGUUGUUCGGAAUUACUGGGCGUAAAGAGUGUGUAGGCGGUGUUCUAAGUUUGUCGUGAAAUCUCCCGGCUUAACUGGGAGGGUGCGGCGAAAACUGGAAUGCUAGAGGAUGGGAGAGGUAAGCGGAAUUCCUGGUGUAGCGGUGAAAUGCGUAGAUAUCAGGAGGAACACCUGUGGUGUAGACAGCUUACUGGACCAUUUCUGACGCUGAGACACGAAAGCGUGGGUAGCAAACAGGAUUAGAUACCCUAGUAGUCC